CGAUUUCGUCCAGGGCAGCGAGGCCCUCGCUCGGUUCCGCAUUUUAUCCACGGGUCAGGGAACGAGCCCGCGCGGCCCGUUCGCUCCGCUCUCACCCGCCUCGCACGUCCUCCUCUCCCCCUCGCGCCCCUCCCAUCGCCGCCGCCAGCUCCCAAUCCCGUCGCCCCCUCCUCCUCCACAAUCCCCUGCAGCGCCUCCUCCUCCAAUCCUCCCGCUCAUCCUCCCCCAAUCUUCUUCCAAUGGCAGCCGGCCACCAGCCCAGGAAGCUCCUCCUCUAGGGCAGGGACGGCGAGCUCCUCCUCUACGGCGCUGGGAAGGAGGAGCACGACCUCGAGCCCGCCACUAAGCAUCGUGACGUGGCCGGCGGAUUCCAAAGGCAUGCCUCCUCUCUCUCCCCAAUCAGCCGCCUCUCUCGCGCCCUCACCACCCUCGCGCCGCCUCUCCUCCUCUUCUGCGUGCAGCAGUCCGUUGGUGAGACUUAGAUUUGGGGCGUAUUCAAGGAGAAGUGGCCGGCUCCGUUUUGGCCGGAUGAACGACGACCUGCAGCUCAAGACGUUGGCCAGCCCUCCUCUGCUUCUUUUCAAGGAUCUACAGGUUUUUCCUCUCCCCUUUCUCUCUCCGAUACACUGAUUUGGGGCGUAUUCAAGGAGAAGUGGUUGGCUCCGUUUUGGCCGGACGAACGACGACCUGCAGCUCAAGACAUUGGCCAGCCCUCCUCUGCUUCUUCUUUUCAAGGAUCUACAGGUGGCCAGUCAUUAUUUGGAAUUGUUACUGCCGAUGUUGUUAUCAUAGCUGUGUAAACCAUAGUUGUUGUGUGUAUUUAAUCUUUCAAGGAGAAUGAUGCAGUUGUUGCGUGUAUAUCGGGUGAUGGAAGUUUCCAUGUUUCACUAUUUUGAUAAGAAUUUCGUUAAGUAACAUGACUUAUGGUCUGGACAAUCGAGGGAAUGGGCAUAUAAAAUACAAUAUGUAGCUUGGCCUUGAUGCUUCAAACUAGAGGGACAUGUAAUUUUGUUUUGCAACUGCAAAGCUUCAACCAAGUUUGCGUGACAUGGUCUGGUAUGUUCCUUUCUCAACCCUGCUAAGAUCACAUCUACUAUUUAUGAUCUUUUUAUACCAGCACAACAUUUUUUACAGAUAGACAUUGUUGAUGUGAUAAUUAUUAACGAUAUUACGGGCUAGGCUUUGCGCCAACACUGAUGUAUAUUUGGAAUUCUGGGUGGAAGUUAAGGUUCUAUUUCUAUUCUUUGAUUAUAAGUAUGAUCCUGCCACAAGAGGGGGACCACGCUGAAUUUCACAAUCGUCAUGUAGGUCAGGCCAUGCUUCAGCACCUACCCCUUUUCUUUUAUAGUUCAUACUUAUCCUUUAUUAGAUCUAUAAAGUAUAGUGCUGCAUAAGUUACUCCACUUAUCUGGUUACCGUCCUCCUUUGAAAAACUGAUUGAUGCUCCCCGAGACAUUUUUUGUUUCAGCACAUAUGCCUCGGUUCAUAUGUGCAUUAUUUUUUCCUUGGUGUUUUGAGAUCCUGCGGGAUGGUGGCGAGGAGUUUCAAGGUGCACGCGAGCUUCUUCUUCUGUUAUUGAUGCCACCUGCCAUGUAUUCCAGAGUAAAUAUCACUACAUGCUUGUGCUACCUAUCACAACUCUGCACAUGUUUACUUCCUUCCUUUUCAUCUUGAAGCAACCUCCAGUAACAAAACAAGGAGGUGCAUCAUCAUUUGUUAUCUGUUUUCUUAGCUUUCUUCAUUCUUUAUUGCCAUAUGUAUCUCACCUGGCACAGUGAAGAUGGUGUUGUGUUGCUUUGUACAUGUGAGCAACAUAUUGCAGAAAGGUUUUCUGCACGUGAGGACAUGGCCCAUUUAUACAAGCAUCAAUGGUUACAAGAAAAUGGGAUGUAUAAGAGUUGUCUGGUAUGCAUACCUGCACUAAUGCUUGACAAGCCAGGUGCUUCGGCAGCUGCUCAUUUAAAAGGAUCCAAUCGCCCCCCUUGCGGCCAUAAGCAUGAUGGAGUGAAGCAACCAACUUGGCUUCUUGUUUUGGAAAUCGUGACCGGUGUUCUGGUGUUCUGCUGCUUGGUUUUGUGAUCACUAGUGCAAUCACUGCUUCCAGAAAAGUUCGCUGAAGUUAAGUCUCCAGGAACUUCAAGUGGCAUGUGAGGACUUCAGCAACAUUAUUGUCUCAACUCCAGAGACUAUAGUCUACAAAGCAGUAUUGUCUCAACUCCAGGAACUUGAAGUGUUAAUUUGAAUAUGCAAAGUUAUCCUGGUUCUUAGUGUGGUAAAUCUAAUAUUGUCCUUUUGUCAACAUUCUGGCAGUAUAAAUGCAUAUGCAGGUUUCUCGCUGAGAUAUCGAAGAGAUAACACGACAUUGUUGUAUUGUUAGUUUCAUGGACGUUUGUGGCAAGCUAAUUCUGUCCCACCAUGGAAGCUCACUUCCGUGUGGAAAUUGUUUGAUAUUUAGUGUUGUCUAAACUAAGCGGUAUGAUUGGAUGGUAUUUGAUGAUGAAUGCUACUCCAAAGAAAGGCAUCUCAUUUGUUUGGAGGAGUAUUCUCAAAGGCAUGAAUUUGCUGAAAAUAGGAUUCAUCUGCCGAGUGGGCAAUGGU